GGCUAUGGCCAUACCACCCUGAACGCGCCUGAUCUCAUUUGAUCUCUGAAGCUAAGCAGGGUCAGGUCUACUCAGUACUUGGAGGGAAGUCCACCUGGGUAUACUGGAUACUGUAGGUU
ensembl:rRNA 5S_rRNA 5S ribosomal RNA